UUAUAACUUAUAUAGGGGAGAUGUAUCUGGGCAGAGACUAUUUAAAAAGCAGCUACAUAGUUGAUCUCAUGUAAUGGCAAUAUUUGUCAUGUACAGUUCUCUUAGAAGUAAUAGUGGUUUAAUGGAAAAAACCUUAGCAGUUACUUUAAAAUGCAUUUUCUUCCUUUAAUAUUGCCAAAAAGGUAACACUGACAUGGAAAAUUUCUCAGAUAACUCCAAUACUAUUUAACUUUGGGUGAAUUCAGAAAAAUGUAAAUGUUAUUGAGGGCAUCCCAAGUCAUUGUUAAAAACCACUGAUGUAUUCGUUGUGAUAGUAUUAUACAACGAUCACUUAACUUACUUCAGCCUGAAGUCAUCAGCUGCCAGCCUGGCAUUGUCGAUCUGAAGCAGGAUGUUGGCAUUAUCAGUUGUUAGGUCAUCGAUGGUUUUGUAGUAUUUGCUGUAGUCACGAGGCUCCCCCUGAUGUGAGUUGCCAUGCUUUUCAUACCACUCCUUGAUUUUGCCUUCCAGCUCAUAGUUUGAUUCUUCCAGAGCCCGAACUUUGUCCAAGUAGGAAGCCAGGCGGUCAUUCAGAUUCUGCAUGGUUACUUUUUCAUUUCCAGAGAGAAGGCCACCAUCUCCUCCAAAUCCACCACCAAAGGAGCCUUUGCUGCUAGAAAUUCUUAGGGAUGACACUCCU
rnacentral:lncRNA from 10 species